CACCCUACGGGGCGCAGCAGUGAGGAAUAUUGGUCAAUGGGCUUACGCCUGAACCAGCCAAGUCGCGUGAGGGAAGACUGCCCUAUGGGUUGUAAACCUCUUUUGCCAGGGAGCAAUUGGCGCUACGUGUAGCGUUAUCGAGAGUACCUGAAGAAAAAGCAUCGGCUAACUCCGUGCCAGCAGCCGCGGUAAUACGGAAGGUCCGGGCGUUAUCCGGAUUUAUUGGGUUUAAAGGGAGCGUAGGCCGGCUUUUAAGUCAGCUGUGAAAGUCCGCGGCUCAACCGUGGAAUUGCAGUUGAAACUGG
rnacentral:rRNA from 1 species